AUUGAACGCUGGCGGCAUGCUUUACACAUGCAAGUCGGACGAGUGGCGAACGGGUGAGUAACAUAUCGGAACGUACCGAGUAAUGGGGGAUAACUAAUCGAAAGAGUAGCUAAUACCGCAUAUUAUUCGAGGGGCCGAUAUCUGAUUAGCUGGUUGGUGGGGUAACGGCUCACCAAGGCGACGAUCAGUAGCGGGUCUGAGAGGAUGAUCAGCCACAUUGGGACUGAGACACGGCCCAGACUCCUACGGGAGGCAGCAGUGGGGAAUUUUGGACAAUGGGCGCAAGCCUGAUGCAGCCAUGCCGCGUGUCCGAAGAAGGCCUUCGGGUUGUAAAGUACUUUUGUCAGGGAAGCGGUACCUGAAGAAUAAGCACCGGCUAACUCCGUGCCAGCAGCCGCGGUAAUAC
rnacentral:rRNA from 1 species